GGAGUUAGCCGGUGCUUCUUCUGCGAGUAACGUCACAGAUGUAAGGUAUUAACUUACACCCUUUCCUCCUCGCUGAAAGUGCUUUACAACCCGAAGGCCUUCUUCACACACGCGGCAUGGCUGCAUCAGGGUUUCCCCCAUUGUGCAAUAUUCCCCACUGCUGCCUCCCGUAGGAGUCUGGGCCGUGUCUCAGUCCCAGUGUGGCUGAUCAUCCUCUCAGACCAGCUAGGGAUCGUCGCCUAGGUGAGCCUUUACCUCACCUACUAGCUAAUCCCACCUGGGCUUAUCCAUCAGCGCAAGGCCCGAAGGUCCCCUGCUUUCCCCCGUAGGGCGUAUGCGGUAUUAGCAGUCGUUUCCAACUGUUAUCCCCCACAAAUGGGCAAAUUCCCAGGCAUUACUCACCCGUCCGCCGCUCGUCAUCUUCAAAAGCAAGCUUUUGAAAUGUUACCGCUCGACUUGCAUGUGUUAGGCCUGCCGCCAGCGUUCAAUCUGAGCCAGAGANAACAACUCGACACGUAGACGGCGGUGCGACGACGGCGACUAGUG
rnacentral:rRNA from 1 species